rnacentral:tRNA from 1 species
GUUGAGGUGGCCAAGUUGGUCUAAGGCGCCAGAUUAAGGUUCUGGUCCGAUAGGGCGUGUUCAAAUCCCACUCUCAACA